rnacentral:rRNA from 1 species
CGCAACGAGCGCAACCCUCGUCCUUAGUUGCUAACAGUUUGGCUGAGCACUCUAGGGAGACUGCCUUCGCAAGGAGGAGGAAGGUGAGGACGACGUCAAGUCAUCAUGGCCCUUACGCCUAGGGCUACACACGUGCUACAAUGGGAUGUACAAAGAGACGCAAUACCGCGAGGUGGAGCAAAUCUCUUAAAGCCAAUCUCAGUUCGGAUUGUAGGCUGCAACUCGCCUACAUGAAGUCGGAAUCGCUAGUAAUCGCGGAUCAGCACGCCGCGGUGAAUACGUUCCCGGGCCUUGUACUCACCA